rnacentral:miRNA from 9 species
AGGCAGUGAUGAGGGCAAUAUUG